UACGUAGGGUGCAAGCGUUGUCCGGAAUUAUCGGGCGUAAAGAGCUCGUAGGCGGUCUGUCGCGUCUGCUGUGAAAACUCAGGGCUUAACCCUGAGCUUGCAGUGGGUACGGGCAGACUAGAGUGCGGUAGGGGAGACUGGAAUUCCUGGUGUAGCGGUGAAAUGCGCAGAUAUCAGGAGGAACACCGGUGGCGAAGGCGGGUCUCUGGGCCGUAACUGACGCUGAGGAGCGAAAGCAUGGGGAGCGAACAGG
rnacentral:rRNA from 1 species